rnacentral:rRNA from 1 species
UACAGAGGGUGCAAACGUUGCUCGGAAUUAUUGGGCGUAAAGCGCGUGUAGGCGGCUUGUUAAGUCGGUUGUGAAAACCCAUGGCUCAACCAUGGAAGGGCGUCCGAAACUGGCAAGCUAGAGUCCCGACGAGGAUGGCGGAAUUCCCAGUGUAGAGGUGAAAUUCGUAGAUAUUGGGAGGAACACCGGUGGCGAAGGCGGCCAUCUGGGAGGGCACUGACGCUGAGACGCGAAAGCGUGGGGAGCGAACAGG